ACAGCUUCAAGGGAGGAGGACGGACACAGGGAAAGAAAAAAAAGCAUACUUGAGAGCCAGAAAAGCCUUAUCCUCUGGCGCAGGCUGUUUACCAGGCAUCAAAAAUAAUUGGGAAUUAUCGAACUCACUGGGUGUAUUAAGCAGGCACUGUUCUAACCACUGAAGAUGCUGCUGCAAACUAAAUCAGAGCCCCUGACUUCAAAGAACACACAGUCUAGCAGGAGAGAGGAGGCAAACUACAGAAUGUGAAAGGUAUUACAAUAGAAACAGUAUGGCAUAUGGCAUACUGGUUGUGAACAUGAAGAUUGAGACUGGAUUGCUUCAGUUUGUAUCCCAGGAUUGUUCUAUGGAUUGAAUGAAUAUGUGUAAAGCCUGGACAUUGGAAACACUCAAUGGAUUGUAGUGAAUCAGGGGAAUCCGGGUGCGAGGACCAACCCGUGUAGAAGAGGCGGCAAAUGCAGUGACUGGGAAAAUGGAGUCGGAACAUGGAAUGAGUCCUGAUCUUCAAUUUUCUCCACUGGAAGAUGGCACCGAGUGCGUUGAGUGGGACCAAGGGAUACACUGCCCUUUUCUCCAUUUCGGAGCCGUGUCAAAACUUCAAGACGUAGGCUCCUAUUUCUCACCGUGAAAGAGCUCGGGAAGACCGGCCUUGUGGAAACAUACAGGCCCAGUUACCGUGCGCAACAGGCAAACAGCGGAAUCCAGGCCUGGCCUCGGCAGGCCCCGCCCCUAGGCCGGCGGAAGCGGGCCCGACCUCGCCUCCCAGGCUUGGGCGUGUCCCCAAGGGCGCACGCGCGUGCACGGCAUGCUGGGAAAGCUCCCGCGCGGCGGCCAUUUUGUCUUAUCGGCUCCUUUUCGGAGGAGGCUUUUUUGGCCUGCGAGCGAGCAGGAGAGGUUAGCGACGGUGUCGCUGGCGUUGUCUUCGGUUGGUGCCAGGGCUGGUGGGAGCAGCCGCCCGAGGAAAGCACCAUGAUUUCGGCCGCGCAAUUGUUGGAUGAGUUAAUGGGCCGGGACCGAAACCUCGCCCCGGAUGAGAAGCGCAGCAACGUGCGGUGGGACCACGAGAGCGUUUGUAAAUAUUAUCUCUGUGGUUUUUGCCCUGCGGAAUUGUUCACCAACACUCGUUCUGAUCUUGGUCCAUGUGAAAAAAUUCAUGAUGAAAAUCUACGAAAACAGUAUGAGAAAAGUUCUCGUUUUAUGAAAGUUGGCUAUGAGAGAGACUUUUUGCGAUAUCUGCAGAGCUUACUUGCAGAAGUAGAACGUAGAAUUAGACGAGGCCAUGCUCGUUUGGCAUUAUCUCAAAACCAGCAGUCGUCUGGGGCAGCUGGCCCAACAGGCAAAAAUGAAGAAAAAAUUCAGGUUCUAACAGAUAAAAUUGAUGUACUCCUGCAACAGAUUGAAGAACUAGGAUCUGAAGGAAAAGUAGAAGAAGCCCAGGGAAUGAUGAAAUUAGUUGAACAGUUAAAAGAAGAGAGAGAAUUACUUAGGUCCACAACUUCGACGAUUGAAAGUUUUGCUGCCCAAGAAAAACAAAUGGAAGUUUGUGAAGUGUGUGGAGCUUUUUUGAUAGUAGGAGAUGCCCAGUCCCGGGUAGAUGAUCAUUUGAUGGGAAAACAGCACAUGGGCUAUGCCAAAAUUAAAGCUACUGUAGAAGAAUUAAAAGAAAAGUUAAGAAAAAGAACUGAAGAACCUGAUCGUGAUGAGCGUUUAAAAAAGGAGAAGCAAGAACGAGAAGAAAGAGAAAAAGAACGGGAGAGAGAAAGAGAAGAAAGAGAAAGGAAAAGACGAAGAGAAGAGGAAGAAAGAGAAAAAGAAAGGGCUCGUGACAGGGAGAGAAGAAAAAGAAGUCGUUCACGAAGUCGGCAUUCAAGCCGAACUUCUGACCGAAGAUGCAGCAGGUCUCGGGACCACAAAAGAUCACGAAGUAGAGAGAGAAGGAGAAGCAGAAGUAGAGAUCGACGAAGAAGCAGAAGCCACGAUAGAUCAGAAAGGAAGCAUAGAUCUCGUAGUCGGGAUCGAAGAAGAUCAAAAAGCCGGGAUCGAAAGUCAUACAAGCACAGGAGCAAAAGUCGGGACAGAGAACAAGAUAGAAAAUCUAAGGAGAAAGGGCAGAAGAUAAGAUUAUUGGACUGACUACUAGUCCUCUACGGGGCAACAAGACGACUCUUCCACAUUGAAGCUACCUGUGCACCGGAGAAGCCCAUAAGGCACAAAGGGAGGACUUUUCCACAAGAAAAGAGGGGAUCUGAUGAUAAAAAAAGUAGUGUGAAGUCCAGUAGUCGAGAAAAACAGAGUGAAGACACAAACACUGAAUCAAAGGAAGGUGAUACUAAGAAUGAGGUCAAUGGGACCAGUGAAGACAUUAAAUCUGAAGGUGACACUCAGUCCAAUUAAAACUGAUCUGAUAAGACCUCAGAUCAGACAGAGGUAAGUGUAUUGUUUCUCACUUUGAUUAGGGCUUUUUGUUACUGUUUGACAGUGCAGCGUAAGUAUGCACAGAUGAAGAUGGAACUAAGCCGAGUAAGAAGACAUACAUCUUCUGAAGGAAAAGACAGUGUAGUCCUGCAAAACAUUUUGAGGUACAUUGUUUUGUCUCAGCUAUUUUGUAGCAGACUCGUGCCCAUUAGUGUGCCUCUUUGGAAAUUAUUGCCCACAUUUGUAAUAUAGUCGCCAUUGAAAAGUUAAUUAUCCUUUUUUUAGGGAUUUUGCUGUCAUUUCUUUUUUUUUAAUAAAAAGGUUGAACUGUUUUUUUUUUCUUUUUGGUAUUAAGUCCAUCUUGUGUUGGUACAUUGGCAGAGACAUAUGCUUUAAAAACUUAAAUAUUUCUGAGGCACAUGUUGGACUACUUUGUUUUAAUUAAACUGCUAGUUAUUUCUUUGUCAAGGAUGUUUCUAGUUUUUUGCUUUAUUGCCUUGCAUUCUAAUGCAGUUUGUUCUGUAACUCGAGAGCCAGUAGCAUUGGAUUGAUGGAAGUGUAGGGUUUAUGAAUUAUUGCAGCUGACUACCAUACCUCACACAGCGUUGGUGUUGUGAGCGGCCCAUGAAAAGCCAAAUUAAAAAUCAAGGAUUCAGUCAAACUAAGCAGGUACUCAUGCCAGGUACUCCUUUCUCUACCCACAUCCAUGUUUGAAUGCUAUUGCCUGUGAUCUUUACGCUUAACUGUUGUGUAUCUUUUUUGUUCUUUACAAGAAGCACAGAGGGGUUUUUUGUGUAUUGCGUGGAAACUUAUAAAUCAAAUGUUAACAGAAUGGAAUUUUUUUUCAACUGUAUGUAGGGAUGCAGUGGUGCCCAGAAUUAGAUAUCUUUAAAGAAUUUUAAAUACAAUAAACACUUCAUAUUAUUCGCCUUGUUACAUUCAGUGCAGUUCUCAAGUCUUUAAGAGGUAUGUGUUUAAUAUUUCCUACUGUGUAGGAGAAUUUGCAGUCAGCCAUAGGAAUAUAGGAAUAAUCACUGGCUGAUAUAUUUAAAGCAGCAGUGAAUAGCAGGGAUAGACACCUUCAAUCUGCAAAGUACUAAUGAACCAUAUAGAAUGAAUUUGGGUUUUUAAAGAACUGUUAAAAGUCAGGUUUUGUAAAAGUUCUUAAAACCUAUAAACUGUUCAUUCUUUGGGCUAGUGGCGUGGGAUAGAAGAUUCCUAAUGAAAGGAAGUACCAAUUAGUUGAUUUGUCGAUGGCAUUCCUUUUCUGGGACAGCAAUAUAGUGUUAUGUCUGUGUGAGCCAUUCCCACAUAGGCAAGCCCACACAGGCACAUGGCUUUUAAGACCACACUGAUGCCUUGAUAAUUAAAAAGAAUACAAACAUUCCAUAUACAUAUAUUAAUUAGUAGUUAGUGACUGGGCCAACACUUAGUCAUAAAAGUUUGCCUUUUACAUGUUGUCUAAUUAUCAUUUUUCCCCAAAUUUUGCAUUAUAGGACUACUGUUCGAAGAUUUUUGGAAGAAAAAUGAAAACGGCAUAAAGUGAAGACCGACAUUAAAAUGAGGUGAAAGAAAACUAUAGUGGCAUAGACAAAGUAUAAAGCUCAGUUAGCUUUUUUUUUUUAUUAUUAUUAAAAAAAUUAAUUCAGGACUGAUGUGACCUACCAGAUUUCAGAACGUGUUAAUAGCAUAUAAAUGCCACUGAAAACUUAGGUCUUGUAUCAUAUUUUUUUCUUUAAGACUUUUUAAGAAAUAUUACCUAAACAUGUGGCUUGCUCAGUGUUUAAUUGCAAGUUUCAUUCUUGGACUUUGAAAACGGGAUUAAACGUUAGUAUUCGUGUGAAUCAGACUAAGUGGGAUUCCAUUUUUACAACUCUGCUAUACCUAGCCUUUGGAUUUAGAAGUGAAAAUAAAGUAUCUCUGAGUUUCUGUUACAAAUCUGAUUGUCUCUGUCAUUGAAAAGUUUUAGUAUUAAUCUUUUUCUAAUAAAGCUAUUGACUCUGAA